UGGGGAAUCUUGGACAAUGGGGGCAACCCUGAUCCAGCCAUGCCGCGUGGGUGAAGAAGGCCUUAGGGUUGUAAAGCCCUUUCAGUCGUGACGAUAAUGACGGUAGCCGGAGAAGAAGCCCCGGCUAACUCCGUGCCAGCAGCCGCGGUAAUACGGAGGGGGCUAGCGUUGUUCGGAAUCACUGGGCGUAAAGCGCGCGUAGGCGGACUGAUCAGUUGGGGGUGAAAGCCCAAGGCUCAACCUUGGAACUGCCCUCAAUACUACCAGUCUUGAGUCCGGGAGAGGUGAGUGGAAUUCCUAGUGUAGAGGUGAAAUUCGUAGAUAUUAGGAAGAACACCAGUGGCGAAGGCGGCUCACUGGCCCGGUACUGACGCUGAGGUGCGAAAGCGUGGGGAGCAAACAGG
rnacentral:rRNA from 1 species